rnacentral:rRNA from 1 species
GACGAACGCUGGCGGCGUGCUUAACACAUGCAAGUCGAACGGAAAGGCCCUGCUUUUGUGGGGUGCUCGAGUGGCGAACGGGUGAGUAACACGUGAGUAACCUGCCCUUGAUUUUGGGAUAACUUCAGGAAACUGGGGCUAAUACCGGAUAGGAGCUCCUGCUGCAUGGUGGGGGUUGGAAAGUUUCGGCGGUUGGGGAUGGACUCGCGGCUUAUCAGCUUGUUGGUGGGGUAGUGGCUUACCAAGGCUUUGACGGGUAGCCGGCCUGAGAGGGUGACCGGCCACUUUGGGACUGAGAUACGGCCCAGACUCCUACGGGAGGCAGCAGUGGGGAAUAUUGCACAAUGGGCGGAAGCCUGAUGCAGCAACGCCGCGUGCGGGAUGACGGCCUUCGGGUUGUAAACCUCUUUCGCCUGUGACGAAGCGUGAGUGACGGUAAUGGGUAAAGAAGCACCGGCUAACUACGUG